GGUCAUCAUUGUACGUCCUGGCUUGCCCAACUCUUCGGACCAAGAAAAGAAACACUGUCAUACUAAAAAAUUUCUGCACCAUGACUUACUGAAACAAAUACGAGGCAGAACACAAACAAAUAGGUCAUCUUUGUAGGCCAUGACUUGCCCAACUCUUCGGACCAAAAAAUAAAUAAUGUCAAACUUGUAUUUUUCUGCACCCUGGCUUACUGAAACAAAUACAAGGCAGAACAAAGAUACAUCGGUCAUCAUUGUACGUCCUGGCUUGCCCAACUCAUCGGACCAAAAAAUAAACACUGUCAUACUAAAAAUUUUCUGCACCCUGAAUUACUGAAAGAAAUACCAGGCAGAACACAAACAAAUAGGUCAUCUUUGUAGGUCCUGACUUGCCCAACUCUUCAGACCAAAAAAUAAACACUGUCAUACUAAAAAUUUUCUGCACCCUGAAUUACUGAAAGAAAUACCAGGCAGAACACAAACAAAUAGGUCAUCUUUGUAGGCCCUGACUUGCCCAACUCUUCGGACCAAAAAAGAAACACUCAUACUAAAAAUUCUCUGCACCCUGACUUACUGAAACAAAUACCAGGCAGAGCACAGACAAACAUGGCCUUAAUAUAUCUGUAGGCUCUGAC